rnacentral:rRNA from 1 species
CGAGAGGCUGACCAGCCAAGUAGCGUGAAGGAUGACGGCCCUACGGGUUGUAAACUUCUUUUAUAAGGGAAUAAAGUGCAUCACGCGUGGUGUUUUGUAUGUACCUUAUGAAUAAGCAUCGGCUAACUCCGUG